UUUAAGUGCAACCAUGAGUUUCCGUGCCCAAUUUUGAUCGUCCGUCUUAUUUGAAUUUUUUUUGUAAUUAGUAUUUUUUUUUGUUGUUAUGAGAUGAUAAAACAUAAAUAGUACUUUAUGUGUGACUUAUGUUUUUAAAUUUUUUCAAAUAAGACGGACAAUCAAAAUUGAGUACGGAAAAGUAUGGCUGCACUUAAA
rfam:Oryza glumipatula chromosome 8, whole genome shotgun sequence.